rnacentral:piRNA from 1 species
UNUGGCUUUCCUAAGGUGAACUCUGGUGUA